UCUAAUCACGUCUGAACACUUUCGACCCUAACCAAUCUAUCUCUCUGUCUCUGCCCCGCCUCCGUCCGCAUCUUCAAGGAGCACUCCUACUGCGCCUACUCCGUCUCCGGCGACUGUACCGCACGAGUCUCGGACGUGCGUGAGCCUAGGUCCACCAUCAUCAUCCCGGUGCACGAGUUCGAGAUCCUCUCUUGCGAUUUGAACAAGUACGACGACUGCGUCAUCGCCACCGCCUUCGUCGACAAACCGAUCAAGGUUUGGGACGUCAGAUCCAUCAGUGCUCCGAUUUCGGUGCUCAACGGCCACAGCUACCCGGUGAAAAAAGUCAAAUUCUCGCCGCACCGGCAAAGCUUGAUGAUGUCGUGCUCGUACGACUUGUCGGCGUACUUGCCGUUGCUUCAAUACAAGGACUAGGCACUGGUGACGGUUCUGAUAGCUACAGCUCCGGCCUUAGAUCCAUGACUGAUCACUUAGGGUUCCGGUCCUCCCAUUCGCUCUCAAAAUGCCUUCAAUUUUGUGAUUCGCUCACUUGAAGAGUACUGAUUUGCCAAGCAAGAGGAUGAAGAGGUGCUGGUGCUGCAUACGGAUUUGGUCGAAGGUCCUCAGCCGAUGGAAGUAGCUCAAGUGGGGCCAGCUAGUACAGUUGAUAAUCAGCCGGUGGAGCCGUGGAGGAGCCUCUAACCGUGAAAUUGACUUGGACAAUUGAGAGCUUGUCUAGGUUGAACACCAAAAAGCGCUACUCUGACAUGUUCAUGGUUGGUGGUUAUAAAUUGUAUUCUUCCCUUGACAAUCAUCGUAUGGUUUAAUUUAGCUCUUGAGCUACACAUGAGUUUUUACUAGCAUAGGGGUGUGUUCUUUGUAUAAAUUUGUAUUCUUACGCUUCUUUGGGAUGUAGGUAGUGUUUUAUAUCCUGGAAAAUGUAUUCAAUUAAAGAUGCUGGU